rnacentral:lncRNA from 1 species
UCGAAAUUAAUCUAUUACAAUACUAGCUUCGCCCACCCACUAAACCCGGCACAUUCCGCUAGUUUGUUUUUUGAAAUCCUUCGACAUCGGUAGCCGUUCUCUACCAUCAACGUGAUUCUCGGGAAAGUGAGGUUCUCCUCGUUGCCGAGGAUGCCGGGAGUUCCCUUGACGUCUCCGGAGUAACUAGUUCCCGAUGAUCUCCACCAAACUUGCAACUUUCUCUGUCUAUGAAGCUCAAAACGAUCGAAGGGGAGGAUUCAAAUACUUACCAAGGCCUUGCGAACGCCACCAAAGCCAGAAUGUAUGAAACGCCACA